CGUUUCUUUUCUUUUUAUGGUAUCUUACAUGUAAGGAAGAAGGAAGACAAGUAUGUUACCAACGCUGAAACUGGCAGCAGAGAAGGUCUAGCCCUGUAUGGUCUUAAAAAGUAUCCCGCACAUGGCUAUUGAGCACCUACAAUUUUCAGAAAACUGAAACAUCUCUAUCUGGUCAUUUAUGCUGCCUGUGGAGCUCUAAUGACUACUUUGCUAAGAAACCUAGUGAGCUGGAGGUAGAAAAUAAUGACUAUCGGGCAGAAGAUGUCAAGCCGAAGGUCAGAGAUCGAAACUUGCAAGGCUUUAGCAUCUGA
rnacentral:lncRNA from 1 species